GACAGCUACCUAGUUGUGAGGAUGCAAAUCUCGAAAGCCGGUCUCAGUUCGGAUUGGAGUCUGCAACUCGACUCUAUGAAGCUGGAAUCGCUAGUAAUCGCGCAUCAGCCAUGGCGCGGUGAAUACGUUCCCGGGCCUUGUACACACCGCCCGUCACACCAUGGGAGUUUGUUGCACCAGAAGUAGGUAGUCUAACCGCAAGGAGGACGCUUACCACGGUGUA
rnacentral:rRNA from 1 species